rnacentral:rRNA from 1 species
GUACCGGCGAGUGAAGCGGGAUGAGCUCAAGCUUAAAAUCUCCGUACAAGUUUUGUAUGGCGAAUUGUAGUCUAUAGAGGCGUGGUCAGUAUGAGCACUUGGGGUAAGUUCCUUGGAAGAGGACAGCAUGGAGGGUGAUACUCCCGUUUAUCCCUGAGUGGCUUGUGCGUACGACCCGUUUUCUUUGAGUCGCGUUGUUUGAGAAUGCAGCGCAAAGUAGGUGGUAAAUUCCAUCUAAAGCUAAAUAUUGGUGCGAGACCGAUAGCGAACAAGUACCGUGAGGGAAAGAUGAAAAGAACUUUGAAAAGAGAGUUAAAGAGUACCUGAAACUGCUGAAAGGGAACCGAAUCGUUUCUAGUGUCUAUAAUCCGUGGUAUAUUUCAUUAACAAGUUUAUACGGGCGGGCGUUGUGGAAGCGGCCUUUGCUGCACCCGGCGUUCGUAUUGCGUGUACUUGUUGAUGCCCUGUGCUGCGGUGGGACGUCAACGUCAGUUUGUAUGCUGCGGGAAAUGGCUAUUGAGGAGGUAGGGCUUACGCUUGCGUUUGCCUGUUAUAUCUUGAUGACGUGUCGCGGUUGAGACUGAGGUGCCUACAACGUGCUUUUGAGUGUGUCUGCGUCUCCGUGUGCGCCGUGUGCGGAUAGCUUGCUAUGUGCGUGUGGUUGUGGUGGAUUGAUACGGACUUUAACUUGUUGCCGUUCGGGACGUUGACGAAAUGGAACGAUUCGACCCGUCUUGAAACACGGACCAAGGAGUCUAACAUAUGUGCAAGUGUUAGGGUGUGGAAACCCCAGCGCGAAAUGAAAGUGAAGGGCAGCGUAGUGUCUGAGGUAGGAAACGCUGCAUUGCGGCGUGGCACUAUCGACCGAUCAUGAACCUUCGUGGUAAAAGAUUUGAGUUUGAGCACAUAUGUUGGUA